rnacentral:rRNA from 1 species
UAUACGUGGGGGCACCCUGACCGCAAUGCCGCGUGAGUGAAGAAGGCCUUCGGGUUGUAAAGCUCUUUUGUCAGGGAAGAUACAGCAGCUCUAACACAGUCUGCGAAUGACGGUACCUGAAGAAUAAGCACCGGCUAACUACGUGCCAGCAGCCGCGGUAAUACGUAGGGUGCGAGCGUUAAUCGGAAUUACUGGGCGUAAAGCGUGCGCAGGCGGUUAUACAAGACAGGCGUGAAAUCCCCGGGCUUAACCUGGGAAUGGCGCCUGUGACUGUAUAGCUAGAGUGUGUCAGAGGGGGGUAGAAUUCCACGUGUAGCAGUGAAAUGCGUAGAUAUGUGGAGGAAUACCAAUGGCGAAGGCAGCCCCCUGGGAUAACACUGACGCUCAUGCACGAAA